rnacentral:rRNA from 1 species
ACCGGCGCACGGGUGAGUAACACGUAUCCAACCUGCCGUCUACUCUUGGACAGCCUUCUGAAAGGAAGAUUAAUACAAGAUGGCAUCAUGAGUCCACAUGUUCACAUGAUUAAAGGUAUUCCGGUAGACGAUGGGGAUGCGUUCCAUUAGAUAGUAGGCGGGGUAACGGCCCACCUAGUCUUCGAUGGAUAGGGGUUCUGAGAGGAAGGUCCCCCACAUUGGAACUGAGACACGGUCCAAACUCCUACGGGAGGCAGCAUG